UAUGGUGCACGGUUCUGCCAUCGUCUCCUCUCCGCGACGCACGCCUCCCUCUCCUCCGCCCCACCCUCCUCCCCACGCCAUCGGCACCGCCAUCAUCAGAUCCGGCCCAAGACGCCUCUGCCCCACGCGCCCGAGUCGUCGAGGCACACUCCUGCCCGCCUCCGGCGUCCACGCACAUCUCCGCCUCACCUCGGCGCCCGAGUCGUCGCACGCGUUCGAGGUGGCGUCCAUCCCGGCACCGGCCUCACGCACCAUCUACAGCUCCCAACUCUGCUCCUCUCAGUUCUCCCUCUGCAUUCCACCUUCUCUCCCUUCCUCUCCAAGCACCGUCCUCCUCGCCUAGAUCCGUACAAGCUGCAAAUAACCUCUCCGGUGGCAAGACAGAUGGAGUCGAUCUCCGGCGAGGAUGCUCCGAAGCACAACCUGAUCCUGUCCGCGCUCGUCUCCAACCUACAGUGCAUGCUCGCCGCCCGCCGCCCGUUCACGGCAGAGGUCAGCACCGCCGCCACAGCUAGCGAGGCUGAGGCCUUGGCUCAGGAAGCAGAGGCGUCCGAUGCCCCCACGGGAGAUGGGACGCUGGCGAGGCCCAUCGUGCUGCUGACCUGUGCCGGAGGGGAACCGGUCGGCGGGUCUCGCGGCGCUCGUCGACGCCCUCGUUGCCGCCGGCCGCUGCGAUGUCCACGUGUGUGCCCCCGAAUCGUACAUGCUGUGACUUAGAAAACCAAACCACAGCGGGACCGGUGCUCGGAUAGGGUCCAACGGCGAUGCAAGCAAGGAGUGGCAUGCGGCCGGAGGGGCGCAGAUCGGCUCCUGCACGUGCAGCGCAGCCGCGUGACAGUGAAGCAGGGAGGCCGCGAUAGGCGGCACAGGGAGGGUGCGACGGAGGCAAAGUGCAAGCACCUGGGGACUUCAGGUAAGUAGAAAACCAACACUGAAUUUGUCGGUUCUCUGUUUUGUGAUUGACCGAUUGGUUUGUUGAUCUCAGAAACAAAAAAUUGUUUCACCGUCAAGCACCAAUUUUUAGGUAGGUCAGUGUUUUGGGAUGAUUCUCCGAUGCAUCAAUAGCAACCUUGUGCUUGGCAAAGUUAUUUGCCCUGAUAAUGUUGUAGGUUUAGUGAAAAGAAAUAUACUGACAUAUCCAUCGAUCCAUCGAUGCCCAAUGGAGAUUGACCUCUAUCAAGAUUUAGUUACGUGUCUCAAUAGGGCAAUAUUUCUGUGAGUUGUAUACUGUGGAUUCCUCAUCUGCAUCAUGAAUUGAUCGCACUAUUUAUGCCCUAUUUUUCAAACCAUGGUUUCUGUAAUUCUUUGCACCAUGGUAUUUUUCUCAAAUGAUUUUAUCUUUCACAACCCGGACUGAAGUCACUGAAGCAGAAAGAAAGAGUACAAGUCUACUACUGCAGAAAGCAAGGAGGAUGCCAACAGAAGCAGAUUUCAUGUUUGGAUCGGGUAUUGACCUUUUUGUGUUCUCCUCAACUCAUUAUUUAGCUACAUAUCUUAUUAAAUCUUAAUAUUUGGUCAUUAGCUACCAACUUGCACUAUUAUUGUGAAAAUCCAUUAACUUUAGCCAAUGAAAUGGUUAGACUAUCACCACGUAGGUGAUAUUAGUGGCAUUAAGUUAUUAAUCUGUGGCAAAUUCUAUUAUCAACUAUUUUCUUGGCUAAUCAUUACAAUAUAUAAUGAAGAAUACUAUGGCUUGAAGGGAUAUUUAUACAGUUGGCUAUGUAUACGGUCUGCCCAAGCGCCCAACAAUGAAUGAUGUGGUGAAGGAACUUGAGAUCAUCAGAUAGAAUGAAGGGGCACAAUUGCUAAACUCAACGUCUUUAUCAGUUGAACAAUUUGGAAAAAAAGAGAAGAGAUCCUUAUGCAUUUGCCUAUGGAUGAUGGAAGCAACAACAACACUUUUGACUACAACAGUGGGAGUUCAAUUAAGUUGUUCACCCAAGUAGAUAGUUGUCUCCACUCUUUCAACAAGUUAUUGGAGUGAUUAUAUAUGUCUGCUCCAUAUGAAUGCCUUUUCGUUUUAGUAUCACAUCUGAAAUUACCAACCUUUUAGAUCGGGUAUUGACAUCUUUGUGUUCUCCUCAACUCAUUAUUUAGCUACAUAUCUUAUUAAAUCUUAAUCUUUGGUCAUUAGCUACCAGCUUGCACUAUUAUUGUGAAAAUCCAUUAACUUUAGUAAGUGAAAUGGUUAGACUAUCACCACGUAGGUGAUAUUAGUGGCGUUAAGUGAUUAAUCAGUGGCAAAUCCUAUUAUCAACUAUUUUCUUGGCUAAUCAUUACAAUAUAUAAUGAAGAAUACCAUGGCUUGCAGUGAUAUUUAUACAGUUGGCUAUGUAUACAGUCUGCCUAGGCGCCCAACAAUGAAUGAAGUGGUGAAGGAACUUGAGAUCAUCAGAUAGAAUGAAGGGGCACAAUUGUUAAACUCAGCGUCUUUAUUAGUUGAACAAUUUGGAAACAAAAAGAGAAGAGAUCCUUAUGCAUUUGCCUAUGGAUGAUGGAAGCAACAACAACACUUUUGACUACAACAGUGGGAGUUCAAUUAAGUUGUUCACCCAAGUAGAUAAUUGUCUCCACUCUUUCAACAAGUUAUUGGAGUGAUUAUAUAUGUCUGCUCCAUAUGAAUGCCUUUUCAUUUUAGUAUCACAUCUGAAAUUACCAACCUUUUAGAUCGGGUAUUGACAUUUUUUGUGUUCUCCUCAACUCACUAUUUAGCUACAUAUCUUAUUAAAUCUUAAUCUUUUGUCAUUAGCUACCAUAUUGCACUAUUAUUGUGAAAAUCCAUUAACUUUAGUCAGUGAAAUGGUUAGACUAUCACCACGUAGGUGAUAUUAGUGGAAUUAAGUGAUUAAUCAGUGGCAAAUCCUAUUAUCAACUAUUUUCUUGGCUAAUCAUUACAAUAUAUAAUGAAGAAUACUAUGGCUUGAAGGGAUAUUUAUACAGUUGGCUAUGCUGCUUACAUGAUCCAUUUAGCUGUCUUUGGAUUUUUGGGGUAACUCUCCAAUAUCUCACAUGAGGUUCUUUGUGAUAGCUGUUACUUAAUCUGUGGUGAUCUAUGUAAAUGUGGCAACACUUGCAGUUCCUCGAGCCCUUGUGCAUGGAUAUAUCGUUUAGUUGUGUCUAAUAAUUUGUAAUUAGUGGCAACAUCUUUUUGUUAUUUUGGUUUUAUCUGCUUUUUAUUGUUAUAAGAUCUCGAUUGCAAACUGGCAGUUAGUACACCAUUAGGUUUUCCUUUGUCGUAUCAAGCUAAUAAUGUGUGAAGCAGGGUUCCCAUUCUGAUCUUUAGUUUUUUGUGAUUUUAAUAGCAAUAACCUUUUUUCGCAAAAAAGUAACAAACUUUAUGCAGAAUGCGGUCCGUAUAGUUCCCAGUAUCCUUUUGUACUUAGAUUUAGUUUGAUAUAUGGUUAUGUUUAUUGACAGAAUGCUUUUUAGCUUUGCAGAUAAAAUCUUAAGCAAAAUGGGAGAAGGUUUGGGUUUUCUGCAAUCUGUCGUCUCCUCUUCUGCUGGGUAUCUCCGUUAUUAUUCUAAUGAAGAGGGCUAUGAGUUGGAUUUUCGUAGGUACAUUUGAGCGUGUUUUGGAAUGCUGGGACCGUGAAACACAUGAAUAUGUUGCCAUAAAAGUUGUUCGCAGUAUCCACAAGUACUCUGAUGCUACAAUGAUUGAGAUAGAUGUGCUCAAUCGCCUUGUAGAAAAUGAAAAAUAUAGAUCUCUGUGAGUAUCUCAGAGACCUAAUUGCUUAAAGUAUAACCCUAUUCUAUUUUUGACUUGACAGUUCCUCUUCAAUUUGUCAGCUGUGCUCAAAUUUAGAGAUGGCUUGACUAUCGUAAUCAUAUAUGCAUGGAUGCGUUACUUUAUGUUUGCUUGUAUUUAAUAUAGAAGGCUCCCUUGCCUUCGUUCGAUCAUGUGGUAUUUGAAAGUGAUGUCUCUAUAAAUGAAGUAAGGUAGGGCAAUGCUUAUGUUACUGUUGUCAGUUAUUAGCUUUUUAAACCAUGCAUCUGUCAAUGUGUCCUGUUUCAAUAGGGUCUUAUUAUAGGACGUGAUGGCACUGAAUUAGGAUGUUUGUUCUUUUGCUACCUUUGUUAAACAACAUCAGAUCAUUCGUAUUGUAUCCUUCCUCGGAUUGCUUCUUUUGUUCUACUACAAAUAUGCCCAACAUGGCAGGGAGAGAUUGCUCUGUGUUUUGCAGGUCUCGAGGUCAAGCCUGGACCCACUGUCAAGUGUGUGCUUGGACAUGACUUUAUCCUGCACUUUCCACUGCUGCACUUGGGGAAUCAAAGAAAAGUGAAAGUACCAUGUCAAAGUUGAUGACCAGAAGCUUGCUAUUGGAACCCUCUCUAUUGAAAAAUACCCCUAGAUAGAAAUUGAUUUGGUUUUCAAUAAAGAGUGUGAGUUGUCACACACAUAGAAAACUACCUGUGUAUUUUUCUUUGGUUACAAGGUUGAGCAACCAAUCGAGGAAGAUGAAUAUCCUUUUUAACAUUGAUUUUUUUAGUUUUAUUUCAUAUGAAGAGAAGGAGCUAAACAUUCCAGUAAUCAAGGAAAAUGGCAAAGGUGAUGGGAAGGCAGUUGCUGCAGCUUCAAAAUCAAGUCUUGGGCUUGAAAAAAAGCAAGGAUGAGUAUGAGUCUGAUGAUUCUGAUGAGGGAGAAGGUGAAACCGGAGAAUGAGGAGAUGUGGUUGUUCAUGGACGACAGCAUCAAGAAACCUGCAACAUGCAACCUGAUUUUAAGAAAUCUGCCACCUGCAACAUGACUGGGCAGUGGUAUCUCUGAGAUAUAAUGUGGACAACGGCAAAGAAUACUAUGCAUACACAACAAAAGAGUCCUACAACCUGAUUUUAAGUCCAUUUGUAGCAAACCAUCUUGGAAGCCAUUAACUCGUUGAAUUUGAAGCUGAUGUGCAGUUUUAUUUUUAUGUCAGUUUUACUGAUGCAGUUAGUUCCUAAGAAGAUCCAUGGCAACUUGUUUCACGCUGAUGCUUGAGAAGUUGAGAGGGAUGGAAAUGACACUCACAAUAAAAAUUUGAUUUUCUUUCUUGUGAUCGUCGAUCACAAUAAACACAGUGGCACAAUAUACCGUGUAAUUGUCCUUUCCUGGUAGAACAUGAAAUGUUGAACUUCCUCUUGUGAUAUAUAAAGCCUAUGUAUCCUACAUAAUAUUUAACAUCUUACGGAAAUUUAUUUGUGCUGUCC